AUGGACAAUUCUGCAAAAGGUAAUUUUCCUUUUUAUAAAAGUAAUAAAAAUAGUGAUAAUUAUUUUAAUUAUAAAAGCGAAAAUGUACGACGUAAUAAAACUGAGGAAAAAAAAAACAAUAAAAAAAAUGUAUUAGAUAGGAAUAACUGGGGAGAAGCAAGAACACAUACUGAUGCAUGUAAAAGUAAAAAUAGAAACGUACCAAAUGCAUCAAACAAUUAUAACAGCGAAUCGAGCCAUUCACAAUUAUAUGAUUUAGAUAAAAACAAUAAUAAUACAAAUUCAAAGUAUAAUAAUAACUAUUAUGAAGGAGUUAGUGUUGGAGUAACGACUACGAGUAAUACGGUUAAUACGGGUAAUACGGUUAAUACGGGUAAUACGGUUAAUACGGUUAAUACGGUUAAUACGGGUAAUACGGUUAAAACGGGCAAUACGGUUAAUACGGACAAUACGGUUAAUGAAAAAGGGGACAAAUGUAAUAAUAAAAAAUUUCAUACCAAUAAAAUAAUAGAUACUAAGAAAAAAAACGUAACGGUUGGAGUUAACGCAACCGUAGACGGAAUCGGCAUAGGAAAAACAUACAAACAGGAUGAUAAAAAUUAUAGUAAUGAAAAAAGUAAAGAUAUAUAUAAUGAACAAUAUAAAAAUACGUUCAAUAAAUAUGAAAAAAAAAAUACAAUAAAAGAAGAAAAUGUUAUUAAAAAUCCAACAAAAAAUAUGAAAUUUAAAAAAAAUAAUACUUCAGAAUUAAACCAAUUAUUAAAAGAAAAUUUAAGAAUAGACGAAAAUAUUAAAAAAAAGAAACAGGAGAAAGUUAUGAGGGAUGUUAAAAACAUUGACUUGCGGAACGGACAGGAAGAAAAUACUGAACAUACUGAACAAACUGAAAAAACUGGCCGUUCGGGACGUCACGAACAAGUUAAACGUAUUAAACGUACCAAAGCUGAUGAACGUGAAAAAAAUAUGUGUAUCUAUAAUGAUAGAAAUUAUAAGAAUGUAAAAAAUAAUAAACCACUAUAUAAGGAAAAUUACUCUAGAAUUAGCAAAAGCAGUACAAAUUCAAAACAUGACUACACAACUAUUCCUAAAAGCCAAAGAAAUGAUGAAAAGGUAAAAUAUCAGGUGAAAGGAGAAAAAGAAAUGAAUGAAGAAUAUAACAUAGAUAAACGAACUGAUAUUGAAAAAAAAGAAAAAUUAAAAAAAAAAAACAAAGAAAAGAUUAUUAAUAAGCAUGAAGAAAAUGUGACAACAUAUAAUGAAAAAAAAAAAAUACAAUUUAAAAUAAAAACAAAAGAAAGUGAUAUAAAAGAAAGUAAGAUAAAAGAAAGUGAAAUAAAAAAAAAUAAUAAUGAUUAUAUUAAUAGUGGCAGUUAUAGUCAUACAAUGAAUGGCAGUUAUAGUAAUGUUACGAGUGGUAAUUAUAGUCAUACUAUGGGUGGUAAUUAUAACCAUACUAGUACUACUAGUAGUAUCGGUAUAAAACACAUAGAACUUCUAAACAAUAACACUACUUCAGAAAAUAAAGAACAAAUAAAAUCAACAAAAAAAAUAAAAAAUAAAAAAACGGAAAUACAACAGAACAAAAAAGGUAAAGUUUUAUUACAAAAUGAAACUAAUGAAUUAAUAAAAAAAAGUGAAUCUAUAAAUAAAAAAGUGAAUAAAACGAAAAAUGAUACAGGUACUAUUUCAAGCUCAUCCCAUAGUACUUUUAAACAAGAUUCAUAUAUUAAAACAAAAAAAAGUAAUGGUCGUAGUAUUAUACAUUUUGAAAACAAUCAUUAUAAUAAAAUUAAUGGUAAUAUGGGUAGUAUGGGUGGUUGUAAUGACGAGGGUAGUAGUAGUAUUAGCAGUACACAUCACAAUAUUAUUGAUUGUAACAACAUGAACAAUGGUCAUAUUAAAAAUGAACAUAUUAAUAAUAAUAUUGGUAAAAAAAUAAUUUAUAAUAAAAAACAUAUAAACUAUAAUUUUAAUAAUAAUAAUAAUAAUAAUAUUAAUAAUAAUAAUAAUUUUAAUAAUAAUAAUAUUAAUAAUAAUAAUAAUAAUUUUAAUAAUAAUAAUAAUUUUAAUAAUAUUCAUACAAAUGAAUCAAAUAAAAGUAUAAAUUAUAAACAAUCAUUACAAGACAAUAUAAUAAAUAUAUAUAGUGAUGAUUGUAGUACCCGGUUUAGUUAUAAUGAACAGAGUUUUAAUCAGUUCAGUGAUAGUCGAUCUAAUGAAAACUUGUCAAGUGAUAAUCAUUUCAGUGAUAACCAACAUAGUGGUGAUAAUAAUUAUACUUUAAAUGGGUACCAAAUUAAUAAAAAAUUAUAUAGCCAUAAUAACGAAAUAAAUGAUUAUUAUUAUAAUAAUAGUAGUAGUGGUAACACUAACAAUAAUAUGAAUCAGAUGGGCUGGGUAAAUAAUUCUUAUUAUGAUAACAAUUAUAAAUUAAUACAUAAUAAAUAUAUGAAGAAAAAAUAUGUAGAACAUAAACAUACUGAUAGUCAAAUGAAUACAAAAAGUAGUAACAACGAAAAUAACGAAAAUAAUGAAAAUAACGAAAAUAAUGAAAAUAACGAAAAUGGCGAAAUUAAUGAAAAUGGCGAAAAUAAUGAACAUAAUGAAAGUAGCGAAAAUAACGAAAAUAACAACCUACUU
ensembl:lncRNA